rnacentral:rRNA from 1 species
AAAUUGAAGAGUUUGAUCAUGGCUCAGAUUGAACGCUGGCGGCAGGCCUAACACAUGCAAGUCGAGCGGUAGCACAGAGAGCUUGCUCUCGGGUGACGAGCGGCGGACGGGUGAGUAAUGUCUGGGAAACUGCCUGAUGGAGGGGGAUAACUACUGGAAACGGUAGCUAAUACCGCAUAACGUCGCAAGACCAAAGUGGGGGACCUUCGGGCCUCAUGCCAUCAGAUGUGCCCAGAUGGGAUUAGCUAGUAGGUGGGGUAACGGCUCACCUAGGCGACGAUCCCUAGCUGGUCUGAGAGGAUGACCAGCCACACUGGAACUGAGACACGGUCCAGACUCCUACGGGAGGCAGCAGUGGGGAAUAUUGCACAAUGGGCGCAAGCCUGAUGCAGCCAUGCCGCGUGUGUGAAGAAGGCCUUCGGGUUGUAAAGCACUUUCAGCGGGGAGGAAGGCGNNNNNNNNNNNNNNNNNNNNNNNNNNNNNNAACCUGGGAACUGCAUUCGAAACUGGCAGGCUAGAGUCUUGUAGAGGGGGGUAGAAUUCCAGGUGUAGCGGUGAAAUGCGUAGAGAUCUGGAGGAAUACCGGUGGCGAAGGCGGCCCCCUGGACAAAGACUGACGCUCAGGUGCGAAAGCGUGGGGAGCAAACAGGAUUAGAUACCCUGGUAGUCCACGCCGUAAACGAUGUCGAUUUGGAGGUUGUGCCCUUGAGGCGUGGCUUCCGGAGCUAACGCGUUAAAUCGACCGCCUGGGGAGUACGGCCGCAAGGUUAAAACUCAAAUGAAUUGACGGGGGCCCGCACAAGCGGUGGAGCAUGUGGUUUAAUUCGAUGCAACGCGAAGAACCUUACCUGGUCUUGACAUCCACAGAACUUUCCAGAGAUGGAUUGGUGCCUUCGGGAACUGUGAGACAGGUGCUGCAUGGCUGUCGUCAGCUCGUGUUGUGAAAUGUUGGGUUAAGUCCCGCAACGAGCGCAACCCUUAUCCUUUGUUGCCAGCGGUCCGGCCGGGAACUCAAAGGAGACUGCCAGUGAUAAACUGGAGGAAGGUGGGGAUGACGUCAAGUCAUCAUGGCCCUUACGACCAGGGCUACACACGUGCUACAAUGGCAUAUACAAAGAGAAGCGACCUCGCGAGAGCAAGCGGACCUCAUAAAGUAUGUCGUAGUCCGGAUUGGAGUCUGCAACUCGACUCCAUGAAGUCGGAAUCGCUAGUAAUCGUAGAUCAGAAUGCUACGGUGAAUACGUUCCCGGGCCUUGUACACACCGCCCGUCACACCAUGGGAGUGGGUUGCAAAAGAAGUAGGUAGCUUAACCUUCGGGAGGGCGCUUACCACUUUGUGAUUCAUGACUGGGGUGAAGUCGUAACAAGGUAACCGUAGGGGAACCUGCGGUUGGAUCACCUCCUUA